rnacentral:rRNA from 1 species
UACGAAGGGGGGCUAGCGUUGUUCGGAAUUACUGGGCGUAAAGCGCGCGCAGGCGGCUAUCCAAGUCAGUGGUGAAAGCCCGGAGCUUAACUCCGGAAUUGCCUUUAAAACUGCAUCGCUAGAAUUGUGGAGAGGUGAGUGGAAUUCCGAGUGUAGAGGUGAAAUUCGUAGAUAUUCGGAAGAACACCAGUGGCGAAGGCGACUCACUGGACACAUAUUGACGCUGAGGUGCGAAAGCGUGGGGGAGCAAACAGG